ACCAAUUGCGAAGGCAGCUUUCUGGAUCAUUACUGACACUGAGGAACGAAAGCAUGGGUAGCGAAGAGGAUUAGAUACCCUCGUAGUCCAUGCCGUAAACGAUGUGUGUUAGACGUUGGAAAUUUAUUUUCAGUGUCGCAGCGAAAGCGAUAAACACACCGCCUGGGGAGUACGACCGCAAGGUUAAAACUCAAAUGAAUUGACGGGGACCCGCACAAGUAGUGGAGCAUGUGGUUUAAUUCGAAGAUACGCGCAGAACCUUACCAACACUUGACAUGUUCGUCGCGACUUUAAGAGAUUAAAGUUUUCGGUUCGGCCGGACGAAACACAGGUGCUGCAUGGCUGUCGUCAGCUCGUGUCGUGAGAUGUUGGGUUAAGUCCCGCAACGAGCGCAACCCUCACUUUUAGUUGCCAUCAUUAAGUUGGGCACUCUGAAAGAACUGCCAGUGAUAAGCUGGAGGAAGGUGGGGAUGACGUCAAGUCCUCAUGGCCCUUACGUGUUGGGCUACACACGUGCUACAAUGGUAUUUACAACAGGAUGCAAGACGGCGACGUUUAGCAAAUCCUUAAAAAAUACCUCAGUUCGGAUUGCACUCUGCAACUCGAGUGCAUGAAGCUGGAAUUACUAGUAAUCGUGGAUCAGCGUGCCACGGUGAAUGCGUUCCCGGGUCUUGUACACACCGCCCGUCACACCAUGGGAGUUGGUUCUACCUUAAGGCAAGGCUUUAAACCCUUGACCACGGUAUAGUCAGCGACUGGGGUGAAGUCGUAACAAGGUAGCCGUAGGGGAACCUGCGGCUG
rnacentral:rRNA from 1 species